GACGAACGCUGGCGGCGUGCCUAAUACAUGCAAGUCGAGCGGACUUUCAAGAAGCUUGCUUUUUGAAAGUUAGCGGCGGACGGGUGAGUAACACGUGGGCAACCUGCCUGUAAGACGGGGAUAACUCCGGGAAACCGGGGCUAAUACCGGAUAAUAUCUUUCUUCGCAUGAAGGAAGGUUGAAAGGCGGCGCAAGCUGCCGCUUGCAGAUGGGCCCGCGGCGCAUUAGCUAGUUGGUGAGGUAGCGGCUCACCAAGGCGACGAUGCGUAGCCGACCUGAGAGGGUGAUCGGCAACACUGGGACUGAGACACGGCCCAGACUCCUACGGGAGGCAGCAGUAGGGAAUCCUCCGCAAUGGACGAAAGUCUGACGGAGCAACGCCGCGUGAGCGAAGAAGGUCUUCGGAUCGUAAAGCUCUGUUGUCAGGGAAGAACAAGUACCGUUCGAAUAGGGCGGUACCUUGACGGUACCUGACCAGAAAGCCACGGCUAACUACGUGCCAGCCGCCGCAGUAA
rnacentral:rRNA from 1 species